rnacentral:rRNA from 1 species
UACGUAGGGAGCAAGCGUUGUCCGGACUUAUUGGGCGUAAAGGGCGUGCAGGCGGUCGCGCAAGUUUUGGAGUGACAGUGCUUGGCUUAACCAAGCAAGGCCUCUGAAAACUGUGUGACUUGAGAGUCAGAGAGGGACAUAGAAUUCCGGGUGGAGUGGUGAAAUGCGUAGAUAUCCGGAGGAAUACCAAAGGCGAAGGCGAGUGUCCUGGCUGAGUUCUGACGCUGAGGCGCGAAAGCUAGGGGAGCGAACAGG